CCCCUUGGCCCAAUCCAAUCGCCCAUACUCCACAACCCUCCCUCCCUCCUCGAUCUCUCUCCCUCAGCCACCACAAACCCUAGGUCCUCCCCUUCUGCCUUGCUCUCCACCGCGCCGCCUCCUCCUCCCCUUCACCAUUCCCUCCAGCGGCAGGAACAGGGAGACAACGGCGGCGCUCGAUUUGAUCCGCCCCGCUCCCCUCCCUCUCCACUGCGCCUCGGCCUCGGCCGCCCCGUGCUCUGCCGGCGCCCGUCGGCCUCGAUCCGGCCUCGGCAGGAGGAGCUCACCCUCGAGACAGGAGGAGGGGAGCAGCAGGAUACAGGAGCAUGGCCUUCUUCUCGCGCUGCAGCAGCCGGCCUUGUCCUGCUCGAGGAGGAGGAGCAGCAGGAGGGGCGCACCCAUCCACAAAGGUAGCCAUCGUCGAGGGCUUCUUACACCUGAACCUCGAUCUCCAUGGUGCUGGCGUCCAGCAACUUGAGUUCAAGGGAAGGAGAGGAGGAUGACGCCCAGACAUGGAGAGGAACAGCAGCAGCUCAAGGGGAUUACGUGCUUUGCUGCCCGAGCUGCAGCUGGUUAUCCUCCGCCCUGUGUUGGAUAAUCUUAGAGAGUAAAUCCUGCCGUAACUCAUGACUCGGGACCAAUACAGAAAAAUGAAGCAAGACAAGCUGGAGAAGCUCGCACGGACAUCCAAUUUCUUGUACCACUCAACUGAGCCGAGUUACUUGUGGAGACUAUAAGAAGAAUUUUUAGGAAGAGUUUGAUCAACAAGAUCAAGGUGAAUUAUAUCUCUCUUGAACACAGUCACACCUAUUCCUGCAUUUUCGGAUUUUUCUGUGUAGUAGAUCACAUGCCAUGAUUUUGUACUCCUCUCACCCACUGAGCAAAGCUACAUUUGUAAAUGAAGGUCUUAGAAGUUUUUGUUUUUACCUUUUGGUCUGAUAGAUCAGUAUAUGGUAUUGGUCAUGUGAACAGAGGCUGUCCGUUCUCCUUCUGAUAGAUCAGUACAUGGAAUUAUUAUGUAUAGAUGACCCUUCCAAGAUGAAUAUUUGAGUGCUCUUGUUUGAAUUUUUUUGUUCACAUGAGCAGGCUGACACCCAUAGUUGUUUGACAUCAAAUGCAGAAGAUACACAUCCUAAGAUUGAAGCAAUGCUACCUGAACCAAAGGGUUGUACGCCCACCAUUAUUAAUAUUCCAUACUAUUCGUGUUCUUCAGAUCCCAAUAAUUUAUCCGGUCUUGCUUUUGACAUAAAACACAAGUACAGGCAAAGAGAAGACGAGGUCGAACCCCAACACGGGAAGGUAUCUUGGCACCAAACCAUCAUGAGGAGAAGGGGAUGUGUUGAUGUACAUGAGGUGUUAAUAAAGUUUCACAUUCUUUGUUCUGGUAGAUUUGGUGUGUUGGGUUGCCAUGUUUGCUGUAUUUAUUUUCCUUAGAUUGCUCUGGUGUUUUUGGUGCAAAUUGACCAGGGAGGGCCUAAGAUUUUGUCAAGUUUUUGUCAGGUUAUUCUAUGUAUAGGACUGCGCUUCUAUGUGUCGUUUCCUUCAAACUGUCAUUGCAACAAAAGAUGAAGGGUGUUUUGAUGAUCAGUAGACCAGUGUGUGAUACCGCCUAUUGUAGUUCUAUUGCUAUGCAUACAUGGGCAAUAAAUGCAAGUAAUAUAGUUUUGAUGAUGUCUGAGUGUAUCUUGUGUAUGUGUAGAUAAGCAGCCCUGUUCAGAAGUGCUUUAUAGAGGUCAUGUAAGCUUUCUAGACAUACAUGUUGUUUCCAGUCUCUCUCGGCUUCCCCAAUCCUAGAGAUUAAAGGCGGCCAAGGCCAAUGAGUACGAGGUCACAGAGUACAAGGGUGACGUGAUGAACCCCUCCGCGGAGGAGUUCAUGCCGCUCUCCCGCCGCCUGUCGGCCGACGCGCCCGUCUACAUCCCGCCCGCGAUCGACUACUAUGCUCCUCCGUCCACCGACUCUGUCCGUGCAGGUGGCCAGUUUCCUUCCGCCCCAACCUUCUCCAUUGUCUCCCCAACUGGUACAUGUGUGAUCUUCAUGGAGCUAGCCAUCAUUGGAUUUGGUAAUACAUAAUCACUUAUUCAGAGAGCCCAAGGUGAGAAGGGACGAGCAUCUAGAACACCACCACCUACUAAUCAGUGAGCUACUAUCUGUCUUUGAAUGAGUUACUUAACAAGAGAAGGAGUUUCCUACCUUUCUUAUGCAAAUCUGGAAUUCCUUUAUGAAAAAAGUACCUUGAUGCAGUAAUGGAUUUGAUUAUCACUGGUUACUCUGUUUUCACGAAUUACUACCCAACUGUAUGUAGAUAGCCGACAAUGUUAUUGUUCAAAUGUACUCGAGCCAGGUUUUCGGUGUUUCAUUGCAACCAAAAGAAUUGGUAAUAUUGUUUUGAUGAAAACAUGGUCACACUUGUCGAUGUUGUAGUGGCAUAGGAAUUUUUCCCUAAGAUCCACUAUGCAACCAAUCAAGAGAUCCACUCUGAUUGAGGAGGUUGGGGAGAGUCUAGUGCUGGAAGGAAUCCCGUCACAUGGCACCAGGCGGACAGUAGUCGAGGUGGCGCUGCAGGAGGCCAUAGGUGUGAGCGCCAAAGGGUGGAUCUGCGGCGCGGCUAAAGCGGUAGUGAGAAGGGGCAGCUCGCCUCCCACUCCUAAGCUGUCGACGGGGAAGAUGAAUCCGCAGGGUCCUGGUUGGAACAAGAGGGAGUACUCCAUGCUGUGACAGGAAUUAGUGUGCAAACUGAUUGUUCUGAAUUGAAGUUAAAUUCAACAUUGCUAUGAAGAUUUACAGUACUAUAUUUUCAUGCUUUGGAAGGUCAUACAGUUUGGUUGAAUUUCUCCUAGGAGUACUCCGUGGUUUGACAAGAAUUAGUGUGCAAACUGUCUAUUUUCAAUGGCUAAUUUUCUCGCAGUUCAGUAGUUUCAUGUGCAACUUGAUAUUCAGCAGGUUAAAUUAUUUGACGCAAUCAUUGUAACUGCAUUUAGAUUGAGGAUUGGAGCCUCUGCCCCAAGCUUGACACCUUGCCCACCCCGCAUAAGCGCUUUUGAGAAGGCGGUGAGGGUGUUCAUAAAAAACCCAACUGAAGAUGAGCCGUGGAUCAUAAUUUAGAGAGUCAAUUCCCUGGUACCAAAAACUGUAUGGAGUUUGCGCUGAAGAUGCAGACUGAAAGUGUACUACACUCUGAAUUACACUGGGUGUGUCCAAAAAAAUACACCUGCAGCAUACAUUAUUGAUUCUUGGUGGUACCUUGUGCAUUGGAAAGUUGUAUUUUAGCAACAAAUUCGUAUGGUAAAAAUGUCUUGCCUUGUGCAAUGCAGCCCAUGUUGUGGGAUGGUUGAUUCGAACAAUAGUAUUUUGAGCAAUUAGUGUCAUGCAGGUGAAAUGACUAAA